CGGGGCGCCAGGUACAGCCGGCGGGACGUCCAGUGCCAGCGCAGGAGCCGGGCGAGGCCGUGGCCUCCAGGGUUCCUGGGCGGAGGACAAGGCGCGCAGCCGCGUUGGCGCGAGUUUUAAAUCGGUGCCUUCUCAGCUUUGCAAGUUCUUAUCAAUUGCUGCAUGCCAGAGGAAGUUUUUAAAAAAUGGCCCCCAGCUCUAUUGCGGUGUAAUUGAUGGAUAGAAAUUGUAUUUAUUUAAGGUGAACAGCUGGAUGAUGUGAUGGAGGCACGCAGGGUGGAGGGGUUACCACAGUCUAGGUACUCUACACAUCCAGAGCCUCCCACAGUUGACAAAUGGAUUUUCCUAAUCAGUUUCGUCGUGUUUUGUACUUAAGUUGAGGAUUCCACACCGUGUGGUACUUUCAGAAGAGAUGUAGUGGUGAAUCAAUCGCAACGGUUGUGAUGUUUUCCUAAUUAGGUAUUGAGAAUUACCAUUGGUAUUUGGAAUUAGAUUGCGGAGCAUUUAGGAACCGUUCUCGCUAUGUUGCCCAGGCUGGUCUUGAACUCCUCAGCUGAAAUGAGCCUCCCACCUCGGCCUCCCAAAGUGCUGGGAUUACAGGCGUCCCCUCUGCCCCAGUACUGUUUCCUCUCCCCAGCCCAGCCCCCACAGCUGCCUGCCCUGGCCUCACUCCCUGGCCUCCCCCAUCCCAGCCUCUGGGUCCCUGAGUCAGUCCCUGGGGCUGUCUGCCUUCUAGGGGAGCCUCUGGUGUGGACCAGAAAGUAACCUAAUCCCUUCCAGGCCCACCCUGGAAACAAAGGGAUUUGUCCACUAGCCUGGUGGUGAGAACCAUGUGGCCUCCUGUCUCUGGCAGAGAGGACUCCAGGAUCAAGGGCAGGUAAAAGGAGGAGCCUCCUGGGGAGCUUCAGAAGGAGGGUCCCAAGUCCCUCCUGCCCCACUUCUGUGCCUGGGUCACUCACACCCCUGCCUGACUCUAGCCCCCCUUCUCCAGGGGUCUCCACAACAUGUGAAUCAUGCCCAGCGUCUUCCAUUACACCCUUGAUAAAGUCCUCUCCUCACCAGGACCUCUGUCAUUUUACCUCAUGGUUUUGAAAUAAUUUUUGGUCUUCUUAGCAGUUUAAAAAUAUUGUUUUGUUUUUUUUCCUGAGUUUGGAGCAUUCCUGUUACUAAUUACAUUUUUUUUUUAGACAGGUGUACACUACUACACCCAGCUAAUUUGUUUUGUUUUGUUUUGUUUUGGUAGAGAUAGGAUCUUGCUAUGGUACCCAGGCUGGUCUUCAACUCCUGGGCUCAAGCAAUCCUCCUGCAUUGGCCUCCCAAAGUGCUGGAAUUACAGGCAUGAGGCAGCACGCCCAGCCCUAAUUACUUCUAUUACGCCAAAUUCCUUGUGUGGAAUUCCUGUGCUUUGCACACAAAUUGCCAGGUUGGCCCCAAAGGGGAAAAAAGUGGAUCCCAUUUUCCCAUCUUCUAUGCCUACGUGGCUGACAAAUCUCCCGAAUCCCACAGGAGCUGUCGCUGAUCUUUGUCCUCUAUUCGCUGAAAUAAAGUUCACCAUGGA
ensembl:lncRNA LINC00605 long intergenic non-protein coding RNA 605